rnacentral:rRNA from 1 species
UACAGAGGUCCCAAGCGUUGUUCGGAUUCACUGGGCGUAAAGGGUGCGUAGGCGGUCGGGUAAGUCUGAUGUGAAAUCUCACAGCUUAACUGUGAAACUGCAUUGGAUACUAUCCGGCUCGAGGAAUGGAGGGGAGACUGGAAUACUUGGUGUAGCAGUGAAAUGCGUAGAUAUCAAUAGGAACUCCGGUGGCGAAGGCGGCACGCUGGACCUCUUCUGACGCUGAGGCGCGAAAGCCAGGGGAGCAAACGGG